rnacentral:rRNA from 1 species
AAGGGUCCGUAGGCGGACCUGUAAGUCAGUGGUGAAAUCUSAUAGCUUAACUAUGAAACUGCCAUUGAUACUGCAGGUCUUGAGUAAAUUUGAAGUGGCUGGAAUAAGUAGUGUAGCGGUGAAAUGCAUAGAUAUUACUUAGAACACCAAUUGCGAAGGCAGGUCACUAAGAUUUAACUGACGCUGAUGGACGAAAGCGUGGGUAGCGAACAGGAUUAGAUACCCUGGUAGUCCACGCCGUAAACGAUGCUAACUCGUUUUUGGAUUUUCGGAUUCAGAGACCAAGCGAAAGUGAUAAGUUAGCCACCUGGG